CUUUAGAGAAAGAGGAAGGGAGCGAGAGAAACGUCGAUGCGAUGUGAGAGAGAAGCAUCCAUUUGCUGCCUCUCAUAUGUGUCGGGACUGGGGACCGUAGGCAUCCAGACUGAGGGUUGUGCGUGUCCAGUCUUGGACCAGGAACAAACCUGAAACUUAGGCACGUGCCUGGGAAUCAAACCCACAACCUUCUGAUUAUGGGACAGUGCUCCAACCAACUGACUGGCCAGUGCUGUGUGAAUUUUAAAGCUGAGGCAUUAAAGCAGUGGUCCCCAGCCUUUUUGGUACCUGGGUCCGGUUUUGUGGAAGACAAUUUUUCCAUGGAUGGGCGGAUGGUUUUGGGAUGAUUCAAGUGCAUUACACUUAUGGCACACUUUAUUUCUAUUAUCAUUACAUUAUAAUAUAUAAUGAAAUAAUUAUACCAUUCACCACAUGCUAGGGUUAGCACAUGGGCUUACCAAAACUGUGACUGAGAUGAGUGUGCGGUGGGGGAAAGAGACAUGGACGGAAGUGGUGAAUACAAUAAUGGGCGGGCCACUCGAGGACUAAGAUUAAGUGUUGGAUUCUGACUUAAAGCUGCCACCAGAUGCAGCCAUACAGUUGAAGUACAUCAACUCACUGACUGGCCACUAUAAAGCCUGCCACAAGAAGCAGCUUACUUGUUACUUGCCGCUCACUGAUAGAGUUUUGAUAUGAGUCUGAAAGCAAUUGAUUUAUUAUCAUCUCUGUGCAGUCAAUCUUCUCUGCUAAUGAUAAUCUGUGUUUGUAGGUGCUCCCCAGUGCUAGCAUCACUGCCUCAGCUCCACCUCAGAUCAUCAGGCAUUAGAUUCUCAUGAGUAGCACACAACCUAGAUCCCUCACACGCACAGUUCACACUAGGGUUCACACUCCUAUGAGAAUCUAACGCUGUCACUGAUUUGAUAGGAGAUGGAGCUCAGACUGUGAAACAGGCAGUGGGGAGUGGCUGUAAGUACAGAUGAAGCUUUGCUUGCUCACCUCCUGUUGUGUUGCUGGGUUCCCAAUGGGCCACAUGGCUGGGGGGAUUGGGGACUCCUACGUUAAACUAUAUAGGCACAAUACUCAGUAUUUCAAAAGCACUAGUGUAUAUUUUUAAAUUGGAAUGCAUUUUAAAAUAUUUUAGAUUUUCUGUGAGAUUUAGAUUUUGAAUAAGAGUUUGAGAGGGAAAUUCUUUUCUUCUGUUAGCUUUAUACUUUAAAAUUUCCUGAUGGUGAACAUAUUAAAGAGACCGAUAGCAGUGAAGACUUACUCUAUAAUGUGAAAAUGCACAUCCAUGGUCUCUAGCAUUUUGAAAAAAUGUCAAGAAUUAUGCUACUUUUUACUUUUUCUUCAUACUCUGUUUCGUAUUGUGAGUUUCUAAGCAUACUGACUGUGGACUCCUGUGAGUACAGCAGACAGAGAGGGAAAUUUAAUGUUAUAGCUCAUUAAUGCAGAACUCACCUUCUAAAUUUGAUGUUAGUGUUUGCCUGAAAGGAUAUUUUCUGUACUUAUUAAUAUAAGUUGUUCUCUUCUGAAAUGGGGAAUUGUUCUUUUCACUGUUAAGUCAAUUGUUAGUAAACAUUUCUCAAAAACACUGAAGAAGGUGGAACAUUUCUAAAAACCAUGUAUAUGCUCAUUAUGAAUUUCCUAUUUUGGUUAUUGUGCUUUAUGUGGCCUUACUACUUCAUGUACCUUCUAACAAAUACAGAUGCAAUUCUGAAUCUUACUUUUAUACUAUAAAGACUUACCUUUUAUUUCUGUAUGUAUUUUUAUUUCAAGAAGUUAAUUGGUAAUACAUUAGCCUUUGUAAUCUUGCUGUAUAGUGGGUUGUUAGGAACCCAAGCUUUGAAGUCAGGUAUUUCAAUGUGAGCUCCUUACCCAAUUGGAAAGUCACUUCACCUGGCUGACCUCAGUUCCCUUCUAUGUAAAAUAAGGAUCACAAUGACAUUUACCACUAGAGUUGUUGAGAGGUUUACGAGGGAUACUGUGUGUAAAGUGGCUGACCCAUUAUCAUUGCACAUUAAUGAGCUAGAAGAUGCAUGGUGUAGGUUAAAGACUUUGGGGCUAGCAGACUGGAGAUCUGGGGUGUAGGCUGGAGAAAAUCCACAAAGGCUGGAAAGAAAGGAUGAGACUAAGGACACCAAGACUUCAGUUCUAAAUACAUAAAGUGGUGUUGCUUUUCUCUUGGGUUAUUCUUUUAUUCAUAUUGCUACAAACAAGGAAAUGGAUACAGUUUAUUUUUUCCAGAGUCACUUUUCACUUUAGCAGAAUAAAUAGGAAAAGAUUUGUGGUCAUUGGAUUCCUGGACUAGAACUUGAUGCAUCUGUCUAUUCUCUCUGAAACAGGAAGUUUAAUGACUGUUCUGAGGUUCAUGAGUUCAGAGUGAAGUUUGUCCCUGGAACCAAGUAUGUUACCUGAUCUACACUUGGCCAGGCUAGUAAAAUGUUUGGAUGAAAUGAUAUGCUUUCCUUUUUCUCUUUGACUUUUUGCAUUCUGGAUUAAUGAUGAAUGUUUGUCAGCAGGGGAUACCUCUGUCCUUGCGGCCUGUGAUGGGACAUUGUGUAGCAUUGGGAAAUGGCAGUGAGCAGGUGGUCUUAGGUUGCCAGACCAUUCUUGAGUUGAAUGGAUUUCAAGUAUCAUCCUGAGAUCAGAACCAGAAGCUGUUUGUAACCAGAAGCAUGGUGUUGGGGAUAGAGGGAUGGCCAAACAGAGAACAUGAACAAGAGUGAAAAUCCACCCUCGGUUGUACUGUCUUUCAAUCCCAGCCUUCCCGGAAGCCGACGGGGGUGGAAGUGAAAUUGGGCUUGACUCUGCCUGCAAUACUAUCAAACCCAGGAGGCCUCACUUCCUCUGUCCCACUUCCUGAAGAUGGGAAUUCAGUCACUCCCUCAUUUAUUCAUUUAGUGGUAGAAUUUAUUCAUUUAAUUAACAUUGAUUGACCACCUGCUAUGAAUCAGACCCUGUCCUAAGUACUUGGGAAUACAGCAGUGAACAAAGCAGAUGAAGACCCCUGCUCUCAUGGAACUUCAAGAAGCUGGCAAUACAUACAUAAAACAAAACAACAGUAAUAAAUAUAUUAGAAACUGAUAAGUACCAUAGAAAAAAAUAAAGCAGGGAAGGAUGAAAGAAUGUCAGUGGGUUGGGUGUGGGGGUGGGGUUGGAGGGUGGCUUGCAAUUUAGAAUAAAUUGAUCAGGGAAAUCUAGUCUUUAUACUUGAGCAAAACUUGGGGGAGUUGAGGGUGUGAGCCCUGUGGAGUCCUAGACCCAGGGAAUAGCAGGGGCUUGCAAGGAACUUGGAGCUUGUAGGAGAGUAGCCAGGCAGGGAGCCUGUGGGGAGUGCAAAAAGAGGCGAGUGGUAGAUUAGGCAGCUAAUGUGAGGGGUGGGGUAAGGAGCAGGGAAAUGGCGGUGGGGGGGUGGGGGUGGGGUUGUGAAAGGCCAUUAAAGGGACUGUGGAGUUGGAGUAAUGCUUAGUGAGGGGUGCUGCUGGGGUGUUUAGCAAAGGACGGACAUGGUGUGUGACUUAGGUUUUUAACAGGAUUGCUCUGGCUGUUGUGGAAAUAGUAUACUAAUGGGCACUAUCCCCUUCCUACCAUGUCCCCCCCAAAACAAAAGAAAGCUUGUUUUGGGUGUGCAUAUAUGUCAAAGGGACAGUCAUAUCUUGAGUGUAGUGAUACCACCUUUACCAUAAGUAAGAAUAUGUUUUAUCGCAGAAUGUACUGAGAGCUCUUAUGAGGCCCAGUACUGGAGGGAGUUUGAUCCCCUGAAAGUUGCUAGGACGUGAGGGUGUGAGGAAAGGGACAGACAGCCCAGGGGGUUCCUGUCAUCAUCAGUGACUAAGUGCUGCUUUUGACUUAAGCAGGGUGGAUGCGUUGUACAAGUUGUUCUUUCUGCAAAAGCAGAGUUUUCGUUUCCUUAAUGUAACUUAGAUCUAGAUUGCUUUGGGGAACUUGGAAAAAUCCUGCAGAAUGAUCGAGUCCUGUGGAUUUCUGACAGACGGCCUCAUUACUUUCCUCACCCGCCUUUAUUCCAUCCUCUUUUUCCUGCCCUUCUGUGAUGAUCAGGGCUGAGGGCAUUGCCCUAACAGACCAUAUAUUUCUGACCGAUGGUCAUUAAUUUUCCUUGGCUUGGCUGAAGAAACAUUCCCGUCACCUCUCUUGAAUGUAGAGUACCACCUUGGCGCGAAUGAGUUUUGACAACGGAACCUUGUUCUGCAGCCAGAGGUUGGCCUGGCUCCACUUCCUAUUAAUUUUCUUGUACAAUUAAGGCACCUAGGAAAACAUCUGAUGAAAGUUUUCAUUUUGUGGGCCAAUAAUAAAUGCCAUAAGGUGAUUUGCCAGUCUGUUGGCUUUGGUUGUGAUUUUUUGUACAAAAGCUUUACAAACAAUGAUUACUACAAAGCUCAAUUAGGAGCAUGUAAUGACUUCGUUUCUUUGAACUUUCAAAAGAUGGAAAUUGAUUUGCACAGAUAAUUGUGCUGAAGAUUUUACAUCUCAUUUUUAUAUUUGCCAGCCAUCCUCUCCAGUUUCGAUUCUUGGCAGUGCAAGUGUUUGGAGACACGUUGUAUGUUCCCCAGCACUCACGAUUUAGUGUUUGUCCCCCCACAUGCUGUAGUUGCGUGGGUCUGUGCAUGGAGCCAAAUGAGGGGACUCUUAGUCCAUCAUUUCAGUUUUAAUUAGUUGUAAAAUAUUAGCAGGAAGGCAAAGUUAUUUUACAUCGAAGUGACUUUUUUGGGAAGUAGCAAAUUAAAUUUUAUGGUAGCAGCUGUUCUGAGUGGAAUUUGUCAGAGAGUUGAUGAGAAGUGAAUGCUUACAGUACUCAGAUAUAAAUCCUUAGUUUAAAAAAGAUGCAAGCUGCGAACAAAUGAGGGUAUUGAAAUCUAGAAAAAUAUUUUUGUAAGAAUAUGUUUUCAAACCUAGGCCCUGUUGUUUCAGCCUAAGUCUUUCCAAAACAACGAUUGCUCUGAUUUUGCAGUGGGAGCCCUUGUUUAAUUUGGAAGUCAGUACGACAUGCUGAAAAAGAAACAUAGCUUAGAAGGGAGGCUCCCUAGUAACGGGAAUACUGGGUAAAGAAUUUGAGAAGGAACAGGACCUUCGCACAUGUUGCUCCUAGAGUACUCCCUGGAGUACUGCCUCCAUCACACCCAUCCUCCCACCACAUAGCUUAGCUUAGUUGAUACCUUGUCCUCCUUUAGCUCUCAACUCGCAGCAGAAUGCCUUCCCUGAUGUGGCCUGUUCUCUCUACUGUAAACUCAUAGCCACACAUAGUUCUUCAUAACACUUCAUUUAUUUUUACUGUAUUUGAACAAUUCUUUAGUCCGAGAACUUCAUUAGAUUAGAGAGGGUGUCAUUAUUACUUUUUGUUAUUAUUGUGUCAUCACUGCCUAUAAACAAGGCCUGGCAUGGUGAUAAAUAUUUGGGCUUGAUAAAUAUUUGUUCAGUGAACGCAUCCAUGAAUGGAUUGAGUUUGGGUGGCUACAGGAAAGCCACUACAAAAUUAGACCCAUGGCCUCAAAUUCAAAUGCCUGUGGGGUCAGGCAGCCAAAGUGAAUGAGUGAGCAAGACUGAUGAAGCAACCUGAGAUGUGCUGGGCAACCAGAUAGAAUGUCUCCUGAACAGGUGCCCGUGUAGAGGAUGUUCUCAUUCUUCCUUCAGUGGAAGCUAAUUCUUCUCACCAUCGUGAUAUGGGCUUGGACUGUGGUAAAUUUCAGGGACUCCCUGGGCAGAUGAGUAAAGAUGGGAAAGAAGACUGCUGGAGGCCACCAAGGGCCCAGGUGGCUUUUGAGCAGAGGCGGGAGAUCGUCUGAUUAGGAAGUGUUCUGGAAGAAAAUUUUGGCAGCACGGGAUAUCUUCAAGCAGCCGAGGAGAGUAGUACGUUAUGAGGCAGAAGCAGUUAGUCCACACCAGAGUUAAAUGAAGCGGAGCACUGGAGAAAUGUGCCAGUAGAAGCUGUAGUUUAAUAUCUAGCAGUAGUUUUGCGAAUACAAAGACAAAUCCAUCAGAAAAAUAGAUUUCUGAAAAUUACACUAUUCUUAAUCAAAGUCUUUCUAGAAUCAACAGAAGUCGUGACUUGAAGAGGAAUUCACGAGGUGAAGUCAAUGGCGGUGGGUUGAGGGUUGAGUGGGACGUGAAAAAGGAGAGCCAGUGAGCGGAGACUCUUUUUUGAGUUUUUCAAGAAAAGAAGCAAAGGGACUGAAACAGAAGCAUGGUCAGAGGAAAAUACCAGAAAGAUCCAAGGGCAGGGAGGGAUUUACUCUGCCAGUGAGGAUCUGUUCUCCUGAGAUGGUAAGAGCAGAGGAGAGGGGAAGGUGCCGGUUUCUGAGGUGGAAGUGGUGAGCGGAUGGUGAGGUCUUGCCAGGAGGCAGAAGGCAGUCCUGUGCAAGGUGAGAAGAGUGUGAGGGCUUGGGGCUCAUUUCCUGCA